rnacentral:lncRNA from 1 species
GUCCUAGGGCACAAAAGGGUCCCAGAAAUUCUCUUGUCAAACUGUUGGGAAAUGUUGGGAACCAUUUUGUACUGUGGUUGUGUCUACUUUCACUUCCCUAAGAUCGCAAGCUUCCUGAGACUUCCUGGUCCUCACUGAACGUUUGCCCUGCAUGUUCUGAAAACAGUGAGGAUAAGACACACCUGGGGAGGUCGUAAAAAUGCAGAUUCCUUGUUCUACCUCCAAGGAUCCUGACUCAGGAGGUCUGGAAUGUGGCCCAGGAAUCUGCAUUUCCACAGGAACUCAUAGAAAACCUGGGGCUUUGUUCUGUGGUCCUCACUAUGGAACAUUCUACUCUGUGUGAGCUCUGGAAAAGUCGUUUACUAGAGUAAAUUACAUGUUUCAAAGGAGCCUCUCCCAUGAGUGGAGGACCAGGGUGGAGUCCAGUUCAGGAGUGGCUGGUGGACAAGGAAGUGCUGAGUCCCUAGGGGCUCAGGUACAGGGUGGGUGGCCCAUUUUAAAGAGCAACACAGAAAGUAGAGCUGAAGGGACAGGGCCCAGGCAAGUGAAUGGUGCAGAGUAGAAAAUGACCAGAAAGAAGGCAAAUCUGUUUAAAUGGCUGCAUGGGCACGUCAAGUGCACGUGGAAGGACCAAGACAGAGCAGAUACUUAAAAAGUGACACAGGAGACCAACUGUGAAUAUCUGAUGUCCACAGCUCAGGAUGUCCUGGAAGAGGGGGCAGGAUGGGAAGCAGGGGCCGUGGGAUGACAGUAAGGCCUGUGCCUGGGUGAUGCUGGACCGUGAUCCUGUGUACCAUGUCCCCACCACAUGGGCAGGGCCCUGCCCUCAGUGGGGCUCACCCCAUGUGUCUCCUUAAUUGGGAAACAUUGUAGGCAGCAGCCAGGUGGAUAUAAGCUGUGAACCCGAUGCUAUGUUUCAAAACAGGAGGAGGAUUCUCCAGGGCAAAUAGAUAGAGGACUUGUUAACAUUGGCAAGAUGGCCCCAGGCAAAAGUCAGCUCCUCUCAGAGGCCAGCUGUAGAAUGAAGCAAAAAUAAUAACCAAAUUAGUGUCAAAUCACAAAGAACAGAAAGGCUCUUUGUCUCCAUAGAAAGCCUGCUGUGUCUCAGAGCUUCUCUUCUCUUCUGCGUAAAAUGACCCAAUCAGAUGAGCCGCUCUACUCUUGAAGAAUGUCAGCUCACAGGGGACACACCGCCAGGGGCAGGGCCAGGGCCAGGCUGGGAAGAUGUGAGCCACUCCCUUCAUUGCUGCAGCCCUGUGCUAUGAAAGUACUUAAGCAGGCGGAUGAAAUAGAGUGAGAACCCUUGUGAGAACCACUGUGUAGUUCUAAGCCUGCUUCUGUGUUGUGGUUUAAGCAGCACAAAUAGGAAGGAAGGGAGAUUUAGGUAUGUUUUAUUAAUUCAUUGUCAUUUUUUGUUCUGAUAGGACACACCCCACAUGAACCCAACGUUGCUUACUUUUGGGGAAUUUGGCUACAUCUAAAUGUUAUGUGUUACUGAUGGUGGCAGGGGCCCUCUGUUUUAGAGGCAAGAAUUUCCUGAAAGAACAAAGGCACAUGCAGAUGAUUCGGGUUCUCAGAAUGAAGGAUUCCAGGUGUCCCCAAAUCCUCCAGAAUUCUAGAAUCACACAUAAAACUGCAGGCUGGCCAACAGUGGCCCAGACGUGCAAUGCUUCUGAGACGUCCCAUGCAAUGCCUGCAUUUGGAUGCCUUAUGUAAUAUCUACUAUGGAUUCACUAGCGUUGACCAGCACAGUAGCGGCACUGUAACUCGGGCCUGAAGGAAG